GACGAACGCUGGCGGCGUGCCUAAUACAUGCAAGUCGAGCGCUAAAUGCUGGUCUUUGUGCGCACUGGUGGAUCAGCGAACGGGUGAGUAACUCGUGGUGGAUCUGCCUCUCCGCGGGGGACACUAUUUGGGAACGAAGUCUAAUACCCCAUAAAAACUCUAAACAGAAUUUUUAAGCUUUAAAUUUGCUAUUUCAUAACUCAAAGAUGAUCCCACGCUGUAUUAGCUAGGUGGUGAGGUAAAGGGUCACCAAGGCGAUGAUACGUAGCCGACCUGAGAGGGGGAUCGGCCACGUUGGGACUGGAACACGACCCAAACUACUGCGGGAGGCAGCAGUAGGGGACCUUCGGGGAAGGACGAAAGGCUGAACAGGCGACGCCGCGCGAGUGAAGAAGGUUGUCGGGUCGUGAAACUCAGGUAGUAGAGAGGAACGUAGGUGAGAGUGAAACGCGCAUAAAGUGACGGUAACUGGAGAAAAAGCGACGGCUAACUACGUG
rnacentral:rRNA from 1 species